rnacentral:rRNA from 1 species
AGGACGAACGCUGGCGGCGUGCUUAACACAUGCAAGUCGAGCGGAAAGGCCCUUCGGGGUACUCGAGCGGCGAACGGGUGAGUAACACGUGGGCAACCUGCCCUUAGCUCUGGGAUAGCUCCGGGAAACCGGAAUUAAUACCGGAUAUGACCUAGGCCGACAUCGGCUGUGGUGGAAAGUUUUUCGGCUAGGGAUGGACUCGCGGCCUAUCAGCUAGUUGGUGGGGUAAUGGCCUACCAAGGCGACGACGGGUAGCCGGCCUGAGAGGGCGACCGGCCACACUGGGACUGAGACACGGCCCAGACUCCUACGGGAGGCAGCAGUGGGGAAUCUUGCGCAAUGGGCGAAAGCCUGACGCAGCGACGCCGCGUGGGGGAUGAAGGCCUUCGGGUUGUAACCCCUUUCAGCAGGGACGAAGCGAAAGUGACGGUACCUGCAGAAGAAGCGCCGGCUAACUACGUGCCAGCAGCCGC